rnacentral:lncRNA from 10 species
AUGGCGUUUCACUCAAAUUGGCACACACUUUCUAUUUCAGUUUCAGGCAAUGACGUGAACAUAAGUCGAGGUUGUCAAUUCAUGAGUGAUCUUCUGGUGGGCAGCUUGGUGGCUGCUGGAGGGUUGGAGUCAGCCUUAUGCGCAGCCAUUACUGCAGAGAUCCAGGAUAUUGAAGCCAAAAAAGAAGCACAGAAGGAAAAAGAAGUUGAUGAACAGGAAGCGAAUGCCUCAACAUUUCAUAGAAGCAGGACGCCAUUGGAUAAAGACCUUCUUAAUACGGGAAUCUGUGAGUCUUCUGGCAAACGGUGUUUACCUCUGGUUCAGCUCGUACAACAGCUUCUUAGCCAGGGGACUGCCGAAUGGCCGAUGCCGAGCAGAAGCUGAUGGGUGACCCUCUGAACAAAACCCGUUACAACAACGUGAUCCGCCCGGACACCAGCUCCUCACAGCUCAUCUCCAUCGAGACGGAGCUCUCCCUGGCCCAGUGC